rfam:Bacillus litoralis strain C44 Scaffold5, whole genome shotgun sequence.
AGAUCUUUUAAAGAAAGUCCAGAGAGGCUUGGAAGGGUGUAAGGCAAUGUAAGGUAUACCAAUACCUGAAUUUGCUCUACCUUUAAACACUCUGAUGGAUAUGAAUCAGGGUGUUUUUUACU